rnacentral:rRNA from 1 species
UACGGCGAGUGAAGCGGUAAAAGCUCAAAUUUGAAAUCUGGUACUUUCAGUGCCCGAGUUGUAAUUUGUAGAAUUUGUCUUUGAUUAGGUCCUUGUCUAUGUUCCUUGGAACAGGACGUCAUAGAGGGUGAGAAUCCCGUUUGGCGAGGAUACCUUUUCUCUGUAAGACUUUUUCGAAGAGUCGAGUUGUUUGGGAAUGCAGCUCAAAGUGGGUGGUAAAUUCCAUCUAAAGCUAAAUAUUGGCGAGAGACCGAUAGCGAACAAGUACAGUGAUGGAAAGAUGAAAAGAACUUUGAAAAGAGAGUGAAAAAGUACGUGAAAUUGUUGAAAGGGAAGGGCAUUUGAUCAGACAUGGUGUUUUUUGCAUGCACUCGCCUCUCGUGGGCUUGGGCCUCUCAAAAAUUUCACUGGGCCAACAUCAAUUCUGGCAGCAGGAUAAAUCAUUAAGAAUGUAGCUACUUCGGUAGUGUUAUAGCUUUUUGGAAUACUGUUAGCCGGGAUUGAGGACUGCGCUUCGGCAAGGAUGUUGGCAUAAUGGUUAAAUGCCGCCCGUCUUGA